GGACCUGGCAUGGCGUCCGCUGGGCGGGAGGCGCGGGGGGCACAGACCCGCUCCAGAUAUAUUCCCGUCCAUCAACCCCGGUUGACGUUGACGGGCAGAAUAGCGUGCAAGUGCCGGGUAUUUUAGACCAGCAGACGAAGUUCGUCAUUACAAGUGUCAACUAGCACGUCAUAGAGCAAUCGUCGCUGCAGAGCUGCCGGCUGCCGCGAGUGAUUGGCAGCGUGAUGCGCACCCGAUGAGAGCAAUACGAUAUGAACACACUUGUCACUCAGAGACUACACUAACUGAUUGAGAGCUCUUUUAGUUCGCAAAAGGGUCCAAUCGUGUUCGGAACUCCGCAACUAGUCGUUUUGAUUUGGCUUUGAAAACGCACGUUUAAAUUGAUUAGCUGCCUACCCCAGUCCAGCGCGGCGUGCGGCGACCUUACGUGUGCUGAGGGGGUGAUGAGGGCGGCGGGGGCGUCGCGGAAACCCCUGAAAUAUGAGUCGGCCAGUCGCCGGCUACAGUGAUUGAUGUCCACUGACUGACGUGCACGGAACGGGGUGUUUCACUGCGGACCAAGACAUAGGAGAUAGCGAUUAAGUCAAGGUCAUCGGAAUAUAAUAUUAGAUUUUCCAUAAAAUCUUACCUUGUGUAAAUCUUUAAACUAUUUUUUCACAGAUUGAUACACAAAUUAAUUUCCAAUCAAUAAUUUUGUCCUUAUCAUGAGUUCUAUAUCCUUUAUCCCACUCUUUUUGAUCGUUAUUUGUCAUUCUAAAAACGUAUGCGUCAUUUCAGUUAUUAUUUUCGUUUUUAUUUCACAGUUCAGUUUAAGCAAUCGAUCCAUGCUCGACUUAGGUCAUUAUACUGAAAUCGCUUCCGCUUAUAACGAGCACCAUUGUCAAUAGUUAGAGUACGUCAUAAGCGAGGUAAACACAGCGCUAUUACCGAGCACCCGGCGUCGCCUGGACUUUUAACACGAUACUUGAGGGGGCUGUGUUUGGACUACCUAAUGAAAUAUCGGAUACAAAAAUCCAUUGUGUACUUACUAGUUCAGUGG